GACGAAGGUGGCGAGCGUUGUUCGGUGUUACUGGGCUUAAAGCGUGUGUAGGCGGAAAGGUAAGCGUCUUGUGAAAGCCCCCGGCUUAACCGGGGAAUUGCUCGGCGAACUGCCUUUCUUGAGGCAGGUAGGGGCGCAUGGAACUCUUGGUGGAGCGGUGGAAUGCGUAGAUAUCAAGAGGAACGCCGAUGGAGAAAUCAGUGCGCUGGGCCUGUCCUGACGCUGAGACACGAAAGCGUGGGGAGCGAACGGGAUUAGAUACCCGCGUA
rnacentral:rRNA from 1 species